rnacentral:rRNA from 1 species
AGCCGAGCGGUAGAGAUUCUUCGGGAUCUUGAGAGCGGCGUACGGGUGCGGAACACGUGUGCAACCUGCCUUUAUCUGGGGGAUAGCCUUUCGAAAGGAAGAUUAAUACCCCAUAAUAUACUGGAUGGCAUCAUUCGGUAUUGAAAACUCCGGUGGAUAGAGAUGGGCACGCGCAAGAUUAGAUAGUUGGUGAGGUAACGGCUCACCAAGUCUGCGAUCUUUAGGGGGCCUGAGAGGGUGAUCCCCCACACUGGUACUGAGACACGGACCAGACUCCUACGGGAGGCAGCAGUGAGGAAUAUUGGACAAUGGGUGAGAGCCUGAUCCAGCCAUCCCGCGUGAAGGACGACGGCCCUAUGGGUUGUAAACUUCUUUUGUAUAGGGAUAAACCUACUCUCGUGAGAGUAGCUGAAGGUACUAUACGAAUAAGCACCGGCUAACUCCGUGCCAGCAGCCGCGGUAAUACGGAGGGUGCAAGCGUUAUCCGGAUUUAUUGGGUUUAAAGGGUCCGUAGGCGGAUCUGUAAGUCAGUGGUGAAAUCUCACAGCUUAACUGUGAAACUGCCAUUGAUACUGCAGGUCUUGAGUGUUGUUGAAGUAGCUGGAAUAAGUAGUGUAGCGGUGAAAUGCAUAGAUAUUACUUAGAACACCAAUUGCGAAGGCAGGUUACUAAGCAACAACUGACGCUGAUGGACGAAAGCGUGGGGAGCGAACAGGAUUAGAUACCCUGGUAGUCCACGCCGUAAACGAUGCUAACUCGUUUUUGGGUUUUCGGAUUCAGAGACUAAGCGAAAGUGAUAAGUUAGCCACCUGGGGAGUACGUUCGCAAGAAUGAAACUCAAAGGAAUUGACGGGGGCCCGCACAAGCGGUGGAUUAUGUGGUUUAAUUCGAUGAUACGCGAGGAACCUUACCAAGGCUUAAAUGGGAAAUGACAGGUUUAGAAAUAGACUUUUCUUCGGACAUUUUUCAAGGUGCUGCAUGGUUGUCGUCAGCUCGUGCCGUGAGGUGUUAGGUUAAGUCCUGCAACGAGCGCAACCCCUGUCACUAGUUGCCAUCAUUAAGUUGGGGACUCUAGUGAGACUGCCUACGCAAGUAGAGAGGAAGGUGGGGAUGACGUCAAAUCAUCACGGCCCUUACGCCUUGGGCCACACACGUAAUACAAUGGCCGGUACAGAGGGCAGCUACACAGCGAUGUGAUGCAAAUCUCGAAAGCCGGUCUCAGUUCGGAUUGGAGUCUGCAACUCGACUCUAUGAAGCUGGAAUCGCUAGUAAUCGCGCAUCAGCCAUGGCGCGGUGAAUACGUUCCCGGGCCUUGUACACACCGCCCGUCAAGCCAUGGAAGUCUGGGGUACCUGAAGUCGGUGACCGUAA